AAGCAAACUUCUCGAAGUUGGAAUAUUCGAUUUAACAAAACAAUUGAAAAGUUCAAUUUUGUUAGAUGCAAAGAAGAACCUUGUGUGUACAAAAAGGUUAGGAUUUAACAAAACAAUUGAAAAGUUCAAUUUUGUUAGAUGCAAAGAAGAACCUUGUGUGUACAAAGAGGUUAGUGGGAGCACAAUUAUAUUUUUAGUGUUGUAUGUUGAUGAUAUAUUGAUCAUGGGGAAUGACGUACCCGCAUUGCAAAAUACCAAGAUUUGUCUAUCUGAACUGUUUGCCAUGAAAGACUUGGGAGAAUCAGCUUAUAUAUUAGGAAUAAAGAUCUAUAGAGAUAGAUCUACGAAAUUGCUUGGACUUUCCCAGUCUUU
rnacentral:lncRNA from 1 species